ACUGCAAGUCGAGCGGACAGAAGGGAGCUUGCUCCCGGAUGUUAGCGGCGGACGGGUGAGUAACACGUGGGUAACCUGCCUGUAAGACUGGGAUAACUCCGGGAAACCGGAGCUAAUACCGGAUAGUUCCUUGAACCGCAUGGUUCAAGGAUGAAAGACGGUUUCGGCUGUCACUUACAGAUGGACCCGCGGCGCAUUAGCUAGUUGGUGAGGUAACGGCUCACCAAGGCGACGAUGCGUAGCCGACCUGAGAGGGUGAUCGGCCACACUGGGACUGAGACACGGCCCAGACUCCUACGGGAGGCAGCAGUAGGGAAUCUUCCGCAAUGGACGAAAGUCUGACGGAGCAACGCCGCGUGAGUGAUGAAGGUUUUCGGAUCGUAAAGCUCUGUUGUUAGGGAAGAACAAGUGCAAGAGUAACUGCUUGCACCUUGACGGUACCUAACCAGAAAGCCACGGCUAACUACGUGCCAGCAGCCGCGGUAAUACGUAGGUGGCAAGCGUUGUCCGGAAUUAUUGGGCGUAAAGGGCUCGCAGGCGGUUUCUUAAGUCUGAUGUGAAAGCCCCCGGCUCAACCGGGGAGGGUCAUUGGAAACUGGGAAACUUGAGUGCAGAAGAGGAGAGUGGAAUUCCACGUGUAGCGGUGAAAUGCGUAGAGAUGUGGAGGAACACCAGUGGCGAAGGCGACUCUCUGGUCUGUAACUGACGCUGAGGAGCGAAAGCGUGGGGAGCGAACAGGAUUAGAUACCCUGGUAGUCCACGCCGUAAACGAUGAGUGCUAAGUGUUAGGGGGUUUCCGCCCCUUAGUGCUGCAGCUAACGCAUUAAGCACUCCGCCUGGGGAGUACGGUCGCAAGACUGAAACUCAAAGGAAUUGACGGGGGCCCGCACAAGCGGUGGAGCAUGUGGUUUAAUUCGAAGCAACGCGAAGAACCUUACCAGGUCUUGACAUCCUCUGACAACCCUAGAGAUAGGGCUUUCCCUUCGGGGACAGAGUGACAGGUGGUGCAUGGUUGUCGUCAGCUCGUGUCGUGAGAUGUUGGGUUAAGUCCGCAACGAGCGCAACCCUUGAUCUUAGUUGCCAGCAUUCAGUUGGGCACUCUAAGGUGACUGCCGGUGACAAACCGAAAAAGGUGGGGAUGACGUCAAAUCAUCAUGCCCCUUAUGACCUGGGCUACACACUUGCUACAAUGGACAAAAAAAAAGGUGCGAACCGCAAGGUUUACCA
rnacentral:rRNA from 1 species